rnacentral:rRNA from 1 species
AACGAACGCUGGCGGCAGGCUUAACACAUGCAAGUCGAACGCUGUAGCAAUACAGAGUGGCAGACGGGUGAGUAACGCGUGGGAACAUGCCCUUCGGUUCGGAAUAACUCAGGGAAACUUGAGCUAAUACCGGAUACGCCCUUAGGGGGAAAGAUUUAUUGCCGAAGGAUUGGUCCGCGUCCGAUUGGCCAGUGGGUGAGGGAAUGGCUCACCAAGGCGACGAGCGGUAGCUGGUCUGAGAGGAUGAUCAGACACACUGGGACUGAGACGCGGCCCAGACUCCUACGGGAGGCAGCAGUGGGGAAUAUUGGACAAUGGGCGCAAGCCUGAUCCAGCCAUGCCGCGUGAGUGAUGAAGGCCCUAGGGUUGUAAAGCUCUUUCGCCAGGGACGAUAAUGACGGUACCUGGAUAAGAAGCCCCGGCUAACUUCGUGCCAGCCGCCGCCGUAAAAC